CUGGGUUUCGGACCUCGUGUCCACUCACCCGCCCUCUGUCAUAUACAUCCACAUCAUUUCGGCCCCUGGCUCUCGGGCGCCCCCACCAUUUAUUUGGCGGGGUACCGUUCGCCGGUCGCGGGUCGGCAUUGCAAACCCACGCGGAAUACUGAAGUCUGAUACAAUUUUUUAAACGAAAUUA
rnacentral:misc_RNA from 1 species